rnacentral:ncRNA from 2 species
UGGGGCCUUUGGGGCUAGGUGAAAAAGAGUAAUCUUUUAAUUCCUGACCGGCGGUACAGCCCGCGAGCCAUUAUGGUUGAUCCGGUGAAAUUCCGGAGCCGACAGUAUAGUCUGGAUGGGAAAAGGCCGGC